GGGUAUUGGGAAAAUAGAAUCUGCUUGUGUUCCUCGAUAUACGGAGCCACAAAGGAUGAUUGUUGCAUAACAGUGAAGUGUGCUUUAUGGAACAAAUCACAAUCAUUGCUCAUACUUGAUUUCCUUCCAAGGGAGCCCGUUCCUAUAGCUUCCCCUCGUGGCAUGAUGUUGGAACCCCAAUCAAAUUAAUUGAGUCAAUCAAAUCAAC
rnacentral:lncRNA from 1 species